ensembl:lncRNA
CAGAAAUUUUAUUCAAACAGUUUUAUUUGUAUUUCAUUUUUAUUUUCUUAAUGCAGUUUUCAACAGUUCAACAGUUCCCUUUAGAGACACCGUUUCUUCACUUGUUUGUUUGUAUAUUGUUCUAGUGCUGUGUGUGUGUGUGUGUGUGUGUGUGUGUGUGUGUGUGCGUGUGUGCGUGUGUGCGUGCGCUUUACACAAAUAAGGCAGAAAAUUACAGUUAAUAAUUUUUUUUAAACGCUGCACAAAAACAAACACACUAAAAUGAUAAAUAAACGCUAUAUAAAUGAUAUAACGUUAACUCUUACACACUAAGUGCUGAUGUUGUGUAGUUGUUUUACUUUUAUAAUAAAUGACUGAACAUUUAGUUACUUAACAUAACAAAUUAUCGUCGAACGCAUCGAGUCGUUGGAAUCGGCUCUGCUUUCGAUCGGUCUCAAAUCCUGACACGGAAAUAUCAUUAAUAUCCGAUGUGUUACUUAUUUUUAUCCGUAGUGUGGGGAUUUCACCUUUUAAUCCAGAUGUUCCCAGAUGAAAAGAACUGCAGUAUUUAUAGUAAUGAGAUAAUCGUGUCUGGAGCGAGAGGUUUACCGCUGUUUAAAGGUCAGAGGUGUUGGCUGCGGUCGGUGCAGGAAAGACGGGGAUGAAAUGCUCGUGUAAUCAGUUUCUGAAGUCAGUUCACUUCCUUUUCUUACGGAACAAGACGCUCAAGUACAAAAAUGUUCCGAUUGGAAUUGUCCGGUGUUCCGAGUGCAUUGUCUUUGUGCGUGUUUAGUUUCUCCAUCACGUUCAUGCACGAGCGCGGCGUAACGUAUCCCCCCCAAUGUUCAAAUUCAGCAAAAAGCUUUAAUAUCGGAACAUCGUGUGUAAGCCAAGGUACGCGGGAACGCGCUAAGCUAGCUAAAUUACUAUAAAUAAAGUAACGUUUUGGAUCAUUUGUGUUUCUGAUGUUUACGCGAUCUAAAAUAAUCAUGUAACUAACACUGGCCGUUAUAUAUAGGUUCGUUAAUAUGCGGACGCAUUGAAUAUUCAAACGAUUGCGAUUCGAACGCGUGUUUUUCCAAAAGGAGGACUAAAACUCGUUACCGAGUCGUAGCUUGGACUUCACACUCGGAACGUUGGGAAGUUGUCCUGCAGCUCCACUUUUCAAUAGGAUUAACAUCAUUGCUUUUUUUUGUUUUUUUUUUGCUUUUUUGCUUUUUUAAAUCAAUCAACACGCAGAUGCUUUCACUGAUCGAAUCUAGAACGUUAAUGUUAAAGGUCACGCGCACCACUAGCAUUAGCUGGAUAGCUUGUUGCUAACAAAAGACAAGGUUAAAUUUCCUUGAAAAUGACGAUUCAGAGGUCAGUUGAACGUGGAAUACGAUAGCGCUCAAGUUUUUUCCCCCCGCAGAGAGUGGCGUGCGUAACGGUGACGCUUCUCCAAGACGUUUCAGCCUGUUAGAUGUUAAUGUUGAAAAUUAUUUUGUCGUUACUUAGCUAUACUGUACAUCUGAUAUCGCAUAACAAGGAACGUUCUACUUAAGUAACGAUACUUUCUUAUUUAUACUGAAGUCUAUUAUUGUAAGUAAAGUAAAGUUAAAUCACAAUCACUAAGCUAUAUUGAUAUUAAUAUAUGUAAUAUUUCUGUUGCUUGUUAGCUGGAGAUAUUUUUUCCUCGUUAAAGCUCGGGUCAGUAACGUAUCGCGUGAAUAUUCUCGUUGAACUCGUUGUCCUCUAGCUCAGGUACGUGUUGUUGAUGUCGAUGCUGUUGCUGCUCUUCAGGCUCAGAGUCUCUAAGGAAUCCUGAUGGCAGGCGUGAGGGAACACGGCCGACUUCCUGUGCCGGGAUUUCCCGCUGCGAUCUUCCCCGUCCUCGUCCUCGUCGGCGCUGGACGUGUUUUCCGUCGACCUCUUCAGUCCAGCUCGGUGGCGCUGUAGAUCUCGCUGUAGGACGAGUACUCGAUGUCCUCCACGCAUGGAGGCUCGUCGUCCUCGAAGCAGCUGUG